AACCGUCGUUUGCCUUUCUGUUCCGUCUGCCUAACCGUUCCGCUCGUUUCUCGUUCGCCCCACAGAGAGAGAGAGAGAGAGAGAGAGAGAGAGAGAGAGGCAGUGGGAAUGGCGGACGAGCAGCAACUGCGGCACGUGGAGAGCAUCGCCAAGAGGCCUCGCGUCGUCUCCCUCCUCGCCUCCGAGAUCCGUAACCUUGAAACCGAGUUGUCUGUGGUUAGAGCAGCGUAAGUGGCAGCGACUGCUUUCAACAGUUACAUCCCACUUGGAUCAUUCAGCUGAGAUCAAGACAACGAGAAGAAGAUCAAGGUGUCAAUGAAGAGAAAGGUGGAGACAAUUUUCAAGCCAAUGUAUGUGGACAUCAAAUUUCAUGAUAUUCAGGGAAAGAAUUAUUGAUGUGCCAUAGCAAAAUUAAAGAAGGAAAUAGUCCCUGAGAAAUGUAAGGUGGUAGUUAAGCCCACAAUAGUGAUAUCAUUACACUCUUGAAAGCUUCAACGGGAAACUGGCUGGAUGUUCACUUUAAGGAAGA